rnacentral:rRNA from 1 species
CCUACGGGAGGCAGCAGUGGGGAAUAUUGCACAAUGGGGGAAACCCUGAUGCAGCGACGCCGCGUGAGUGAAGAAGUAUUUCGGUAUGUAAAGCUCUAUCAGCAGGGAAGAAGAAAGACGGUACCUGACUAAGAAGCCCCGGCUAACUACGUGCCAGCAGCCGCGGUACUACGUAGGGGGCACGCGUUAUCCGGAUUUACUGGGUGUAAAGGGAGCGUAGACGGCUGUGCAAGUCUGAAGUGAAAGCCCAGGGCUCAACCCUGGGACUGCUUUGGAAACUGUGGAGCUAGAGUGCUGGAGAGGUAAGUGGAAUGCCUAGUGUAGCGGUGAAAUGCGUAGAUAUUAGGAGGAACACCAGUGGCGAAGGCGGCUUACUGGACAGUAACUGACGUUGAGGCUCGAAAGCGUGGGGAGCAAACAGGAUUAGAUACCCUAGUAGUC